UACGUAGGUGGCAAGCGUUGUCCGGAUUUACUGGGCGUAAAGAGCGCGCAGGCGGUCGAUUUAGUCGCGUGUGAAAGCCCCCGGCUCAACUGGGGAGGGUCACGCGAUACUGAUCGACUCGAAGGCAGGAGAGGGUAGUGGAAUUCCCGGUGUAGUGGUGAAAUGCGUAGAUAUCGGGAGGAACACCAGUGGCGAAGGCGGUUCUCUGGGAAUGUCCUGACGCUGAGGAGCGAAAGUGUGGGGAGCGAACAGG
rnacentral:rRNA from 1 species